rnacentral:lncRNA from 1 species
GUUCAUACACUUUACGCUUGCGAGAGAGAGAGAGGAUUUGCACGGUUCUCGUUCUUAGUAUUUGGUGAUACCGUCACUGACUUGAGCGUCGGAGUGCGAUCGGCCGCAGCGACGCCGUAUCGUUUCUUUGCAGGUUCUUGAGAUAGAUCCAGAGGAGGAACGGAAGUGAGAAGCGGCGCGCACGUCGAUCCUUUGACGAGGCAUUUUCCAGCGCUCCGGUCAACAGGCAGGAUCA